GACGAACGCUGGCGGCGUGCUUAACACAUGCAAGUCGAACGAAGAGCGAUGGAAGCUUGCUUCUAUCAAUCUUAGUGGCGAACGGGUGAGUAACGCGUAAUCAACCUGCCCUUCAGAGGGGGACAACAGUUGGAAACGACUGCUAAUACCGCAUACGAUCUAAUCUCGGCAUCGAGGAUGGAUGAAAGGUGGCCUCUACAUGUAAGCUAUCACUGAAGGAGGGGAUUGCGUCUGAUUAGCUAGUUGGAGGGGUAACGGCCCACCAAGGCGAUGAUCAGUAGACGGUCUGAGAGGAUGAACGGCCACAUUGGGACUGAGACACGGCCCAGACUCCUACGGGGAGCAGCAGUGGGGAAUCUUCCGCAAUGGACGAAAGUCUGACGGAGCAACGCCGCGUGAGUGAUGACGGCCUUCGGGUUGUAAAGCUCUGUUAAUCGGGACGAAAGGCCUUCUUGCGAAUAGUGAGAAGGAUUGACGGUACCGGAAUAGAAAGCCACGGCUAACUACGUG
rnacentral:rRNA from 1 species